rnacentral:rRNA from 1 species
CAGCCGCCGCGGUAAUACGGAGGGUGCGAGCGUUGUUCGGAUUUACUGGGCGUAAAGGGCGCGUAGGCGGUUUGGCAAGUCAGGUGUGAAAUCCUUCCGCUCAACGGAAGAAGUGCACUUGAAACUGCCAAGCUAGAGUAUGGGAGAGGAGAGCGGAAUUCCCGGUGUAGAGGUGAAAUUCGUAGAUAUCGGGAGGAACACCCGUGGCGAAGGCGGCUCUCUGGCCCGUUCCUGACGCUGAGACCCGAAAGCGGGGGGAGCAAACCGGAUUAGAUCCCCGGGUAGUCCACGCCGUAAACGGUGGGCACUAGGUGUGGGGGGUUAAUCCCUCCGUGCCGAAGCUAACGCAUUAAGUGCCCCGCCUGGGGAGUACGGCCGCAAGGUUGAAACUUAAAGGAAUUGGCGGG